GACGGGGGGGGCAAGUGUUCUUCGGAAUGACUGGGCGUAAAGGGUACGUAGGCGGUGAAUCGGGUUGAAAGUGAAAGUCGCCAAAAAGUGGCGGAAUGCUCUCGAAACCAAUUCACUUGAGUGAGACAGAGGAGAGUGGAAUUUCGUGUGUAGGGGUGAAAUUCCGUAGAUCUACGAAGGAACGCCAAAAGCGAAGGACGAAGCUCUCCUGGGUCCCUAC
rnacentral:rRNA from 1 species